UCCCCUCCACUACCCACCGAGUGGCGAGUGCCCGGCCAAAAGGCCUUUCAAGUUUCAACUCAAUAGUCACACAAUUGUACUCUCUCUCUUUCUCACACCCACAUUUCGUCGUAAUUCCCCGAUGCUCUUUCUUCCUCACUCACAGUGAUUCAGGUGGUUUUUUAUUUUGAUCAAUGGGUUCGACGGUGGAUACACUCCCAGCUAAACGUCCCGCUCCAACUGAAUAUUCUUCUGAGGGACACAAAAGACUGAAAUUGUCAUCUGAUGGCUCCCCAUACUCAAAUGUUGUGGAUUACAGUGACCCAUUUGCAAUAUCUGCUGUUCUGAACCGGCUUGACAGUGGGGAAUUUGGAAGUGUCACGAAGGACAUAGAGGCCCUCAGAGUGCAGAAAAUGCAAAUGUUGGGACCAUACUUUGCAAAAUAUCCUUCCCUGAUCAAUCAAUUAUUGAAAGUGGCAACUAACCAUACUGAAGAAACUGUCAAAUUGGAAUUUGAACCAGUUACUAGUGCACAUCAGGGUGUGAUAAAGUUGGAGGGUGGGCAAAUUAAGAAGAAUGUUCCUGCAGCCCCAACAUCUAUCGUAAUUAUUGAUUCAGAUGAUGAGGAUGAUAAUGAUAAAAAUUCUGAUCCUCGAUUUCAUCAAGUAGUGUUACCUGCACCAGUAAGACCAUCUCCUGCGCUGCAGAUGAAUGGUCAUGCUUCCAUUGAAUUCGAUGAGAAAAGUAAAGUUCCAAAAAUUGAGAAAAGUCUGGAUGGUCAAGAUACGAGUCCCAGAGACAAAGGUAUCUAUGUUGGUAUACAGGAGGAAGAAGAUGAGGUUGAAGAGAAAGAUGAUGGCUUAGGUGAUAUUUGGAGGGAAAUGUCAAUGGCUAUAGAAUGUUCCAAGGAUGCUUCUAUGGAUGUGCUCGAUGAAGAAGAGGAAAAGGAGGAAGACUGUGAUCAUUCUUUUGUUUUAAAAGACGAUCUUGGUUAUGUUUGUCGUGUAUGUGGGGUUAUCGAAAGAAGAAUUGAGACCAUAUUUGAGUUUCAGUACAAGGUUAAAAGGAGUACAAGGACUUAUGCAUCUGAUUCAUGGAGUUCCAAAGAGAAAGCUGCGAUGCAUGGGAUCCACGUAGCUGAAGAUGAUCUUGUAGUGACUGAUAUUUCUGCACACCCGAGACAUAUGAAGCAAAUGAAGCCACAUCAAGUCGAGGGAUUCAAUUUUCUCGUGAGGAACCUCGCGGGUGAUAAUCCUGGGGGUUGCAUCUUGGCUCAUGCUCCUGGAUCAGGGAAGACUUUCAUGAUAAUUAGUUUCAUGCAAAGUUUUCUGGGCAAAUAUCCCAAUGGUAGACCGCUAGUGGUGCUUCCCAAGGGAAUACUAUCAAUUUGGAAAAAAGAAUUCCAGAGAUGGCAAGUUGAGGAUAUACCACUUCUGGAUUUUUACAGUGUGAAGGCUGACAAUAGAUCUCAGCAACUGGAAGUUUUGAAAAAAUGGAAGGACCAGAAGAGUAUCCUUUUCUUAGGAUACAAACAGUUCUCCACAGUUGUAUGCGAUGAUUCCACCAGCAGAGCAUCAGUAGACUGCCAGGAGAUAUUGCUUAAGGUUCCUUCUAUUCUCAUUUUAGAUGAAGGGCACACUCCAAGGAAUGAGAAUACUGAUAUCAUGCAGUCCCUUUCCAAAGUUCGAACACCUCGAAAAGUUGUACUGUCAGGAACUUUAUAUCAGAAUCAUGUGCAGGAGGUGUUUAACAUCUUAGAUCUGGUGCGGCCGCCAAAAUUUUUGAAGAUGGAAACUUCUAAGCCUAUUGUCAAGCGCAUUUAUAGCAGAGUGCAUGUACCUGGUGUUCGAAACUUCUGUGAUUUAGUCGAACAUACUUUGCAGAAGGAUACUGAUUUCAGAAGAAAGGUGGCCGUCAUUCAAGAUUUGCGUGAGAUGACAAGCAAGGUGCUUCACUACUAUAAAGGAGAUUUUCUGGACGAGCUUCCUGGUAUGGUUGAUUUCACAGUGGUGCUCAACCUUACCUCUAGACAGAAGCAUGAAGUUGAGAAAUUGAAGAGGCUUUCCAGGAAGUUCAAAAUAUCUUCUGUUGGCAGUGCUACCUAUCUUCAUCCUAAGUUGAAACCUGUUGCUGAAAAAUGUGGUGAGAACUCCAUAUCUGAUAACAUCAUCGAUGAGUUGAUUGAUAAAUUAGAUGUGAAAGAUGGGGUGAAGUCAAAAUUCUUUCGCAACAUGCUCAACUUGUGCGAGUCUGCUGGGGAGAAGCUUCUGGUUUUCAGUCAAUAUCUCCUACCUCUGAAAUAUUUGGAAAGGUUAGCAGUAAAAUGGAAUGGAUGGAGCCUUGGCAAAGAAAUUUUUGUCAUCUCAGGAGAAUCAAGCCCUGAACAACGUGAGUGGUCAAUGGAAAAGUUCAACAGCUCGUCUGAUGCCAAAGUCUUCUUUGGCUCAAUCAAGGCAUGUGGGGAGGGCAUAUCACUGGUUGGGGCAUCCCGCGUAAUCAUUAUGGAUGUUCAUCUCAAUCCAUCAGUUACUCGCCAAGCUAUUGGCCGUGCAUUCCGACCAGGUCAGACAAAGAAAGUCUUUGUAUAUCGGUUGUUGGCAGCAGAUUCUCCAGAAGAGGAAGAUCACGCUACUUGUUUCAAGAAGGAGUUGAUUUCAAAGAUGUGGUUUGAAUGGAAUGAGUAUUGUGGUGAUAGCGCUUUCGAAGUGGAGAGCGUCCCUGUGAAAGAAUGUGGUGAUUUCUUCCUCGAAAGUAAUUCAUUAGCUGAAGAUGUUAAAGCUCUAUAUAGAAGGUAGGUUUUAAGGCAGGUUUAUGUGUAAGAAGUCUUCUUCUCUGCUCCACUGUUGGUAGAUUCUUGCAUGCAGAUAGGUUUUGAACAGGGAGAAUCCUUCAUGUUCUCUCUGGUUCUGGGAGUAGGUUUAUGACGGUCUUGAUCAGAAAAAAUGGUAAAAUCACCGAAUGAAAUAGUUUUUACUCUUUAGCUACAAUUAUGUGAUUUUGAACCCCACUUUGAGCUGGGAGUUCCGUGCUCUUGAUUUAAUAUCUGAGCUUGUUAAUAUGAGUUUUUUUUAGCAUCUGUUGAUUAUUUGUUUUUGUUUUGAGAUUGUACAUGUCUAUUUUUGUUUUGUUAUGAUUAUAUGCUUUUUCUCAAGUUCUUGA